AGGGUAGCCGUAAGCUUGGAUCCCGGGGAUGAUGCCAGCUUGCUGGUGGAUUAGUGGCGAACGGGUGAGUAACACGUGAGUAACCUGCCCUUAACUCUGGGAUAAGCCUGGGAAACUGGGUCUAAUACCGGAUAUGACUCCUCAUCGCAUGGUGGGGGGUGGAAAGCUUUAUUGUGGUUUUGGAUGGACUCGCGGCCUAUCAGCUUGUUGGUGAGGUAAUGGCUCACCAAGGCGACGACGGGUAGCCGGCCUGAGAGGGUGACCGGCCACACUGGGACUGAGACACGGCCCAGACUCCUACGGGAGGCAGCAGUGGGGAAUAUUGCACAAUGGGCGAAAGCCUGAUGCAGCGACGCCGCGUGAGGGAUGACGGCCUUCGGGUUGUAAACCUCUUUCAGUAGGGAAGAAGCGAAAGUGACGGUACCUGCAGAAGAAGCGCCGGCUAACUACGUGCCAGCAGCCGCGGUAAUACGUAGGGCGCAAGCGUUAUCCGGAAUUAUUGGGCGUAAAGAGCUCGUAGGCGGUUUGUCGCGUCUGCCGUGAAAGUCCGGGGCUCAACUCCGGAUCUGCGGUGGGUACGGGCAGACUAGAGUGAUGUAGGGGAGACUGGAAUUCCUGGUGUAGCGGUGAAAUGCGCAGAUAUCAGGAGGAACACCGAUGGCGAAGGCAGGUCUCUGGGCAUUAACUGACGCUGAGGAGCGAAAGCAUGGGGAGCGAACAGGAUUAGAUACCCUGGUAGUCCAUGCCGUAAACGUUGGGCACUAGGUGUGGGGGACAUUCCACGUUUUCCGCGCCGUAGCUAACGCAUUAAGUGCCCCGCCUGGGGAGUACGGCCGCAAGGCUAAAACUCAAAGGAAUUGACGGGGGCCCGCACAAGCGGCGGAGCAUGCGGAUUAAUUCGAUGCAACGCGAAGAACCUUACCAAGGCUUGACAUGAACCGGAAAUACCUGGAAACAGGUGCCCCGCUUGCGGUCGGUUUACAGGUGGUGCAUGGUUGUCGUCAGCUCGUGUCGUGAGAUGUUGGGUUAAGUCCCGCAACGAGCGCAACCCUCGUUCUAUGUUGCCAGCGCGUUAUGGCGGGGACUCAUAGGAGACUGCCGGGGUCAACUCGGAGGAAGGUGGGGACGACGUCAAAUCAUCAUGCCCCUUAUGUCUUGGGCUUCACGCAUGCUACAAUGGCCGGUACAAAGGGUUGCGAUACUGUGAGGUGGAGCUAAUCCCAAAAAGCCGGUCUCAGUUCGGAUUGGGGUCUGCAACUCGACCCCAUGAAGUCGGAGUCGCUAGUAAUCGCAGAUCAGCAACGCUGCGGUGAAUACGUUCCCGGGCCUUGUACACACCGCCCGUCAAGUCACGAAAGUUGUGUAACACCCGAAGCCGGUGGCCUAACUCCCU
rnacentral:rRNA from 2 species